rnacentral:tmRNA from 1 species
UUUGUUUUCAUUGAAAUUUUUAAGUGAUACAAUUUAAAUGCUAAUAUAGCUAUAGUAAUAAAGUCUACUUAUAAUAGAUGUAUUGGACUCGGGGGCGGUACCCGACGUCUCCACCAAAUUUAAUUAUAAGCUAAAUGGGGACGAAAUUAGCUUCGACAAGCAUUCAAAGAAGUAGUUUUACUCAGGGUGAUUCCUGUAAAUGAUCAUAUUAUAAUUGCAAACAAAAAGUUUGUACCUGCUAACAAUAAUAAUGCUUUCGCACUAGCUGCAUAGGCCUUAUUUUCAAUUAGCGCGGUUUGGGAUUACCGGGCAACAGAAAAUCCCAACA